UACGUAGGGGGCUAGCGUUGUCCGGAUUUAUUGGGCGUAAAGAGCGUGUAGGCGGCCUGGUAGGUCUGCUGUGAAAACUCGAGGCUCAACCUCGAGAUGUCGGCGGAAACCAUCUGGCUAGAGUCCGGAAGAGGAGAGUGGAAUUCCUGGUGUAGCGGUGAAAUGCGCAGAUAUCAGGAAGAACACCUAUGGCGAAGGCAGCUCUCUGGGACGGUACUGACGCUGAGACGCGAAAGCGUGGGGAGCGAACAGG
rnacentral:rRNA from 1 species